UCCAGACUCCUACGGGAGGCAGCAGUGGGGAAUCUUCCGCAAUGGGCGAAAGCCUGACGGAGCAACGCCGCGUGAUCGAAUGAAGGCCUUCGGGUUGUAAAGAUCUGUUGACAGGGACGAAUAAGCAAUGCGAAUAGUUUUGUGUAUGACGGUACCUGUUUAGAAAGCUCCGGCUAACUACGUGCCAGCAGCCGCGGUAAUACGUAGGGAGCAAGCGUUGUCCGGAAUUACUGGGCGUAAAGGGCGCGUAGGUGGGCGCUUAAGUCAGGUGUGAAAACUCCGGGCUCAACCUGGAGACUGCACUUGAAACUGGGUGUCUUGAGGGCAGGAGAGGAAAGUGGAAUUCCUAGUGUAGCGGUGAAAUGCGUAGAUAUUAGGAGGAACACCAAUAGCGUAGGCAGGUUGCCGGGACGGUUCUGACACUAAGGCACGAAAGCGUAGGGAGCAAACGGGAUUAGAUACCCUAGUAC
rnacentral:rRNA from 1 species